rnacentral:rRNA from 1 species
ACUGAAAUAUCUAAGUAGCCGGAGGAAAGGACAUCAACCGAGACUCCGUUAGUAGUGACGAGCGAACGCGGACCAGGCCAGUGGAUGUGGCGAGGGGAACCAGAACUGUCUGGAAAGACAGGCCUGAGUGGGUGAUAGCCCCGUAUGGGUAGCACCUUGCCGCAUUCCUUGAGUAGGGCGGGACACGUGAAAUCCUGUCUGAACAUGGGGGGACCACCCUCCAAGCCUAAGUACUCCUCAACGACCGAUAGCGAACAAGUACCGUGAGGGAAAGGUGAGAAGUACCCCGAUGAGGGGAGUGAAACAGACCUGAAACUGAAUGCCUACAAACAGUCGGAGCCAACAUGAUUGGUGACGGCGUACCUUUUGUAUAAUGGGUCAGCGAGUUAGUUUAUUGAGCAAGCUUAAGCCGUUAGGUGUAGGCGCAGCGAAAGCGAGUCUGAAUAGGGCGACUGAGUUCAAUGAAUUAGACCCGAAACCGGGUGAUCUAGCCAUGGGCAGGUUGAAGGUGCGGUAACACGCACUGGAGGACCGAACCCACCGAUGUUGAAAAAUCGGGGGAUGACCUGUGGCUAGGGGUGAAAGGCCAAUCAAACCCGGAUAUAGCUGGUUCUCCGCGAAAACUAUUUAGGUAGUGCGUCGUGUAUUACCACAGGGGGUAGAGCACUGGAUGGGCUAGGGGGGCGCGAGCCUUACCAAACCUAACCAAACUCCGAAUACCUGUGAGUACAGCACGGCAGACAGACCAUGGGUGCUAAGGUCCAUGGUCGA